AUACGUAGGUGACAAGCGUUAUCCGGAUUUACUGGGUGUAAAGGGCGUGUAGGCGGUUUAGCAAGUCAGAAGUGAAAUUCCCGGGCUUAACUUGGGCGCUGCUUCUGAAACUGCUUUACUUGAGUGCUGGAGAGGAUAGUGGAAUUCCUAGUGUAGCGGUACAAUGCGCAGAUAUUAGGAGGAACACCGGUGGCGAAGGCGGCUAUCUGGACAGUAACUGACGCUGAGGCGCGAAAGCACGGGGAGCAAACAGGAUUAGAUACCCUGGUAGUCCGUGCCGUAAACGAUGAAUACUAGGUGUAGGGGGUAUCGACUCCCUCUGUGCCGCAGUUAACACAUUAAGUAUUCCACCUGGGGAGUACGGCCGCAAGGUUGAAACUCAAAGGAAUUGACGGGG
rnacentral:rRNA from 1 species